CAGCAGCCACGGUAAUACGAAGGGGGCUAGCGUUGCUCGGAAUCACUGGGCGUAAAGGGUGCGUAGGCGGGUCUUUAAGUCAGGGGUGAAAUCCUGGAGCUCAACCCCAGAACUGCCUUUGAUACUGAAGAUCUUGAGUUCGGGAGGGGUGAGUGGAACUGCGAGUGUAGAGGUGAAAUUCGUAGAUAUUCGCAAGAACACCAGUGGCGAAGGCGGCUCACUGGCCCGAUACUAGCGCUGAGGCACGAAAGCGUGGGGAGCAAACAGGAUUAGAUACCCCGGUAGUCCCUGUCUCUUAUAC
rnacentral:rRNA from 1 species